UUCGUUUCCUGCUUGUUUUUAAGGCACAAAAGUAGGAUCCGUGAUUCAGUUUUCUGGAGUAAGGAGUGCCAGCAGGAAAGUGGUGGGUGAGAACGCACACGAACAUAUCCUGUGACGCUUUAAAACAAUUCUACUUAAAGUAUUUAAUAGGAAGAUGGUGGUACUCAUAGCAGAAUCCUGCCUUUUCUGCCCACAACAAAUCUCUGAAAGGAGUGUCUCUCCUAAAGUCAGCAUUUCUUCACGCUGAUGAAACUUUGUGUUUCGCUUUGGUUUGGGCUUUUAAUUCCCUGUGCAAGGACCAUUGCUUUAAGGUACUUUAAGGGGGAGCAUUUCAUUCUGGUGGAGGUUCCCAGAGGACGGCGGGUGUGUGCGGAGGUGUGAGCCCAGCCUUGAAGGUGUCUGCCUGGGCACAUGGAAGGCAGGAUUUCGGCUGUCUGUGCCCCCAAGAAAUUCUGCACAAUUGAAUGAGGAAACCUUCAUUCUACAGCACAACCUCAGACCGUGUCACAUGUGACCCUGCACCGUCACUUGCCAUCCCCCACCCCCUCCCCACCAAACCCAGCCUAGAGUUUCAUGGGGCACUGAUUCCUGCUACAACAUGGAUGAAUCCUGAAGCUACGCCAAAUAAGCCGGGCACUAAAGAGCACACAAACGUGCUUCUGCUUUAUGAAGCCUGCAGAGUGUGCACAUUCAGGACAGAAAGGAGAAUGGUGAGAACUGGCAUCUUCGCUCUCAAGUACACACAGGAAAAGAUGAACUACACACUUCUUAGGAGAACUUUCCAGUUUGACUUUGCACCCUCAUCCCUCACUGCCUCCCACCUACCCUCGUGGGCUCUGCUCUAACCUCAUCAAAGUACCUCUCCAGCUCUCUCCCUCGGCCUUGGCCUGUGGUCUCCUUCCUUCCUUCUCCUUCCUGUCCGCUCCUCCUUCACAGUCACCCCAAGUGUCCUUCGUCGGGAGGCCUGAUG